UAUUAAAAACUCCAUCCAUUUGUACUGUUAAAAACUAACGUAUCUGACAGAAUAACUAGACAGUAACACGUAACAUGCCAUAUAUAUAUCAUGUUGACAUACAAGAUUUGGUUUUUAACAAUAAAAAUUGAUGAAAUUUUUAAUA
rfam:Gossypium arboreum cultivar AKA8401 contig_24083_1, whole genome shotgun sequence.